rnacentral:lncRNA from 1 species
UCAAAAUAAACAUUAAAGAAGCCAUCAGUUACUCCUCAUUUCCUACUUAGUGAAUUCUAAACCACUUAGAUUUUCAAAACUAUUUGUAUUCUGACCCCAGGCUGCCUGUAUAGUUGAUUUCCUAUUAGGAGUUCUUUCCCUCAAUAGCACUGAACCAACAGGUAUUCUUUUAGUCCAAUGUAUGCUUUCCUGGGUCCAUAGUUCUGCUUCUAUUUUCCUCCCUAAUGGCAUGCACCACCUUAACUAACUGUGUAGCAUUAAAUGCUAUUUAUUAUGCUAGGGCUGUGUCAUAUGCCAUUAAUGUACUGUAUGAACUUUUUUAAGUGACCCUAACAUUGAAUUUCAACUUCAAUUUCAUAUAGUCUAUUUUUAUAUAGUUUUUACUGCUUGACCUACACAUCGAAUUCUUUUUUAAAAUAAAU